rnacentral:rRNA from 1 species
UACAGAGGUCUCAAGCGUUGUUCGGAUUCAUUGGGCGUAAAGGGUGCGUAGGCGGCGCGGUAAGUCGGGUGUGAAAUCUCGGAGCUUAACUCCGAAACUGCAUUCGAUACUGCCGUGCUUGAGGACUGGAGAGGAGACUGGAAUUCCUGGUGUAGCGGUGAAAUGCGCAGAUAUCAGGAGGAACACCGGUGGCGAAGGCGGGUCUCUGGGACGUUACUGACACUGAGGCGCGAAAGCGUGGGGAGCGAACAGG